rnacentral:rRNA from 1 species
UACGGAGGGGGCUAGCGUUGUUCGGAAUUACUGGGCGUAAAGCGCGCGUAGGCGGACCUGCAAGUCGGGGGUGAAAGCCCGAGGCUCAACCUCGGAACUGCCUUCGAUACUGCGGGUCUCGAGUCCGGGAGAGGUGAGUGGAAUUCCUAGUGUAGAGGUGAAAUGCGUAGAGAUCCGGAGGAAUACCAGUGGCGCAAGCGGCGCUCUGGGUCGAGCCUGACACUGAGACGCGAAGGCAUGGGGAGCGAACGGG